AUUGAACGCUGGCGGCAGGCCUAACACAUGCAAGUCGAGCGAGCGGCGGACGGGUGAGUAAUGUCUGGGAACCUGCCUGAUGGAGGGGGAUAACUACUGGAAACGGUAGCUAAUACCGCAUACCAUAAGAUGUGCCAAGAUGGGAUAAUCUAGUAGGUGGGGUAACGGCUCACCUAGGCGACGAUCCCUAGCUGGUCUGAGAGGAUGACCAGACACACUGGAACUGAGACACGGUCCAGACUCCUACGUGUGGCAGAAGUGGGGAACAUUGCACAAUGGGCGCAAGCCUGAUGCAGCCAGGCCGCGUGUGUGAAGAAGGCCGUCGGGUUGUAAAGCACUUUCAGCGGGGAGGCGUUACCCGCAGAAGAAGCACCGGCUAACUCCGUGCGAGCAGCCGCGGUAAUUC
rnacentral:rRNA from 1 species